rnacentral:rRNA from 1 species
AGUUUGAUCCUGGCUCAGGAUGAACGCUAGCUACAGGCUUAACACAUGCAAGUCGAGGGGCAGCAUGGUCUUAGCUUGCUAAGGCCGAUGGCGACCGGCGCACGGGUGAGUAACACGUAUCCAACCUGCCGUCUACUCUUGGACAGCCUUCUGAAAGGAAGAUUAAUACAAGAUGGCAUCAUGAGUCCGCAUGUUCACAUGAUUAAAGGUAUUCCGGUAGACGAUGGGGAUGCGUUCCAUUAGAUAGUAGGCGGGGUAACGGCCCACCUAGUCUUUGGAAGGAUAGGGGUUUUUUGAAGGGGAAGGUCCCCCCCCCCUUGGGGAAUUGGGACAGCGGGUCCAAAAUUCCUUAGGGGGAGGCCACCAGUGGGGAAAUUUUGGUCAAAGGGCGGAGAACCCUGAACCCACCCCAAGUAGCCGUGAAGGGAUGACUCCCCCUAUGGGGUUGUAAAAUUUUUUUUAAUAAAGGAAUAAAGUUGGGGUAUGCAUACCCGUUUGCCAUGUACUUUAUGAAUAAGGAUCGGCUAACUCCGUGCCAGCAGCCGCGGUAAUACGGAGGAUCCGAGCGUUAUCCGGAUUUAUUGGGUUUAAAGGGAGCGUAGAUGGAUGUUUAAGUCAGUUGUGAAAGUUUGCGGCUCAACCGUAAAAUUGCAGUUGAUACUGGAUAUCUUGAGUGCAGUUGAGGCAGGCGGAAUUCGUGGUGUAGCGGUGAAAUGCUUAGAUAUCACGAAGAACUCCGAUUGCGAAGGCAGCCUGCUAAGCUGCAACUGACAUUGAGGCUCGAAAGUGUGGGUAUCAAACAGGAUUAGAUACCCUGGUAGUCCACACGGUAAACGAUGAAUACUCGCUGUUUGCGAUAUACUGCAAGCGGCCAAGCGAAAGCGUUAAGUAUUCCACCUGGGGAGUACGCCGGCAACGGUGAAACUCAAAGGAAUUGACGGGGGCCCGCACAAGCGGAGGAACAUGUGGUUUAAUUCGAUGAUACGCGAGGAACCUUACCCGGGCUUAAAUUGCAGAUGAAUUACGGUGAAAGCCGUAAGCCGCAAGGCAUCUGUGAAGGUGCUGCAUGGUUGUCGUCAGCUCGUGCCGUGAGGUGUCGGCUUAAGUGCCAUAACGAGCGCAACCCUUGUUGUCAGUUACUAACAGGUUCCGCUGAGGACUCUGACAAGACUGCCAUCGUAAGAUGUGAGGAAGGUGGGGAUGACGUCAAAUCAGCACGGCCCUUACGUCCGGGGCUACACACGUGUUACAAUGGGGGGUACAGAGGGCCGCUACCACGCGAGUGGAUGCCAAUCCCAAAAACCUCUCUCAGUUCGGACUGGAGUCUGCAACCCGACUCCACGAAGCUGGAUUCGCUAGUAAUCGCGCAUCAGCCACGGCGCGGUGAAUACGUUCCCGGGCCUUGUACACACCGCCCGUC